ACCCAGUCUCGUCAGAUCAGCGAAGUCAAGCAACAUUGGGUCAAGUUAGUACUUGGAUGGGUGACCGCCUGGGAAUACUUGAUGCUGUAGGUAA
rnacentral:rRNA from 1 species